AUUGAACGCUGGCGGCAGGCUUAACACAUGCAAGUCGAGCGAGCGGCGGACGGGUGAGUAAUGUCUGGGAAACUGCCUGAUGGAGGGGGAUAACUACUGGAAAAGGUAGCUAAUACCGCAUACCAUCAGAUGUGCCGAGAUGGGAUUAGCUAGUAGGUGGGGUAAUGGGUCACCUAGGAGACGAACCCUAGCUGGUCUGAGCGGAUGACCAGCCAAACUGGAACUGAGACACGGUCCAGACUCCUACGGGAGGCAGCAGUGGGGAAGAUUGCGCAAUGGGCGCAAGCCGGAUGCAGCCAUGCCGCGUGGGUGAAGAAGGCCUUCGGGUUGUAAAUCACUUUUAGCGAGGAGGCGUUACUCGCAGAAGAAGCACCGGCUAACUCCGUGCCAGCCGCCGCGGUAAUAC
rnacentral:rRNA from 1 species